CAGGAAGAGAAAACAACCGUGAUUCCGGGAGUAGUGGCGAGCGAAACUGGAUGAGGCCAAACCGUAUGCGUGUGAUACCCGGCAGGGGUUGCGCAUUCGGGGUUGUGGGAUCUCUCUUUUACAGUCUGCCGGCUGUGAGACGAGUCAGAAACCGUUGAUGUAGGCGAAGGACAUGCGAAAGGUCCGGCGUAGAGGGUAAGACCCCCGUAGCUGAAACAUCAGCGGCUUGUUUGAGAGACACCCAAGUAGCACGGGGCCCGAGAAAUCCCGUGUGAAUCUGGCGGGACCACCCGCUAAGCCUAAAUAUUCCCUGGUGACCGAUAGCGGAUAGUACCGUGAGGGAAUGGUGAAAAGUACCGCGGGAGCGGAGUGAAAUAGUACCUGAAACCGUGUGCCUACAAGCCGUGGGAGCGUCGCUGGCAGCACUUGUGCUGUCAGUCGUGACUGCGUGCCUUUUGAAGAAUGAGCCUGCGAGUUAGCGGUGUGUAGCGAGGUUAACCCGUGUGGGGAAGCCGUAGCGAAAGCGAGUCCGAAUAGGGCGUUUGAGUUGCACGCUCUAGACCCGAAGCGGAGUGAUCUAGCCAUGGGCAGGUUGAAGCGGAGGUAAGACUUCGUGGAGGACCGAACCCACCAGGGUUGAAAACCUGGGGGAUGACCUGUGGUUAGGGGUGAAAGGCCAAUCAAACUCCGUGAUAGCUGGUUCUCCCCGAAAUGCAUUUAGGUGCAGCGUCGUGUGUUUCUUGCCGGAGGUAGAGCACUGGAUAGGCGAUGGGCCCUACCGGGUUACUGACCUUAGCCAAACUCCGAAUGCCGGUAAGUGAGAGCGCGGCAGUGAGACUGUGGGGGAUAAGCUCCAUGGUCGAGAGGGAAACAGCCCAGAGCAUCGACUAAGGCCCCUAAGCGUACGCUAAGUGGGAAAGGAUGUGGAGUCGCAGAGACAACCAGGAGGUUGGCUUAGAAGCAGCCACCCUUGAAAGAGUGCGUAAUAGCUCACUGGUCAAGUGAUUCCGCGCCGACAAUGUAGCGGGGCUCAAGCGUACCGCCGAAGUCGUGUCAUUCCAGCAUGUACCCCCAACGGGGGCUGGGAUGGGUAGGGGAGCGUCGUGUGCCGGGUGAAGCAGCCGCGGAAGCGAGUUGUGGACGGUUCACGAGUGAGAAUGCAGGCAUGAGUAGCGAUACACACGUGAGAAACGUGUGCGCCGAUUGACUAAGGGUUCCUGGGUCAAGCUGAUCUGCCCAGGGUAAGUCGGGACCUAAGGCGAGGCCGACAGGCGUAGUCGAUGGACAACCGGUUGAUAUUCCGGUACCCGCUUUGAAACGCCCAGUACUGAAUCAGGCGAUGCUAAGUCCGUGAAGCCGGCCCGAUCUCUUCGGAGUUGAGGGUAGUGGUGGAGCCGAUGAACCAGACUUGUAGUAGGUAAGCGAUGGGGUGACGCAGGAAGGUAGUCCAGCCCGGGCGGUGGUUGUCCCGGGGUAAGGGUGUAGGACGCACGGUAGGUAAAUCCGUCGUGCAUAUAGUCUGAGACCUGAUGCCGAGCCGAUUGUGGUGAAGUGGAUGAUCCUAUGCUGUCGAGAAAAGCCUCUAGCGAGUUUCAUGGCGGCCCGUACCCUAAACCGACUCAGGUGGUCAGGUAGAGAAUACCGAGGCGUUCGGGUGAACUAUGGUUAAGGAACUCGGCAAAAUGCCCCCGUAACUUCGGGAGAAGGGGGGCCAUCACUGGUGAUCCGAUUUACUCGGUGAGCUGGGGGUGGCCGCAGAGACCAGCGAGAAGCGACUGUUUACUAAAAACACAGGUCCGUGCGAAGCCGUAAGGCGAUGUAUACGGACUGACGCCUGCCCGGUGCUGGAACGUUAAGGGGACCGGUUAGCUGACUUUCGGGUUGGCGAAGCUGAGAACUUAAGCGCCAGUAAACGGCGGUGGUAACUAUAACCAUCCUAAGGUAGCGAAAUUCCUUGUCGGGUAAGUUCCGACCUGCACGAAUGGCGUAACGACUUCCCAACUGUCUCAACCGCGAACUCGGCGAAAUUGCACUACGAGUAAAGAUGCUCGUUACGCGCAGCAGGACGGAAAGACCCCGUGACCUUUACUACAGCUUGGUAUUGGUGUUCGGUGUGGCUUGUGUAGGAUAGGUGGGAGACUUUGAAGCGUGGACGCCAGUUCGUGUGGAGUCAUUGUUGAAAUACCACUCUGGUCACUCUGGAUAUCUAACUUCGAACCGUGAUCCGGUUCAGGGACAGUGCCUGGUGGGUAGUUUAACUGGGGCGGUUGCCUCCUAAAGAGUAACGGAGGCGCCCAAAGGUUCCCUCAGCCUGGUUGGUAAUCAGGUGUUGAGUG
rnacentral:rRNA from 1 species